GACGAACGCUGGCGGCGUGCUUAACACAUGCAAGUCGAGCGGUAAGGCCCUUUCGGGGGUACACGAGCGGCGAACGGGUGAGUAACACGUGGGUGACCUGCCUUUAGCUCUGGGAUAAGCCUGGGAAACUGGGUCUAAUACCGGAUACGACUCCGCGGUGCAUGCUGUGGGGUGGAAAGCCUUGUGCGGCUGGAGAUGGGCCCGCGGCCUAUCAGCUUGUUGGUGGAGUGAUGGGCCACCAAGGCGACGACGGUAGCGGCCUGAGAGGGCGACCGGCCACACU
rnacentral:rRNA from 1 species